GACGAACGCUGGCGGCGUGCUUAACACAUGCAAGUCGAACGGAAAGGCCCCUUUGGGGGUCCUCGAGUGGCGAACGGGUGAGUAACACGUGAGUAACCUGCCCUUGACUUCGGGAUAACUUCAGGAAACUGGGGCUAAUACCGGAUAGGAAUCCUUGCUGCAUGGUGGGGGUUGGAAAGCUUCGGCGGUUUUGGAUGGACUCGCGGCUUAUCAGCUUGUUGGUGGGGUAGUGGCUUACCAAGGCUUUGACGGGUAGCCGGCCUGAGAGGGCGACCGGCCACAUUGGGACUGAGAUACGGCCCAGACUCCUACGGGAGGCAGAAGUGGGGAAUAUUGCACAAUGGGCGGAAGCCUGAUGCAGCAACGCCGCGGGCGGGAUGACGGCCUUCGGGUUGUAAACCGCUUUCAGCAGGGGCGAAGCUUGUGGUGACGGUACCUGCAGAAGAAGCACCGGCUAACUACGUG
rnacentral:rRNA from 1 species